rnacentral:rRNA from 1 species
UGGAGCAUGUGGCUUAAUUUGACUCAACGCGGGAAAUCUUACCGGGUCCGGACACACUGAGGAUUGACAGACAUUUAUAUACGUAAUAGUAUAUAUUUAAAGAUGCUAGUUCUUUCAUGAUUAUGUGAUAGGUGGUGCAUGGCCGUUCUUAGUUCGUGGAGUGAUCUGUCUGCUUAAUUGCGUUUCAUAUUAUUAUAUAAUAUACACACAUUACGUGUGUUAUAUUAUUACUUUGAAAGCAACGAACGUGACCGUAGCCUUUUAUUAUAUACGCUACACGUAUAUUAAUUAAAGGGACCGCUGUAUCUUUCUUUAAACCAGAGUAAGGUUACGGCAAUAACAGGUCUGUGAUGCCCUUCGAUGUUCCGGGCUGCACACGUGCUACAAUGAUUAUUUCAUUAAGUAUCUACUGUGCAAUAAUAUAUUAUUAUUAUUCAAAACCUACUCUGAGAAUGAGCGGGUAAUCAAUUAGAAGUAAUGAUUUCCAAAUUUAUACACUCAUGUACCGUAUAUAUUAUCCCAUUACACAUUAUGUGUUAUGCGUGUAUAAUAUUGUACGCUGUACGUAUAUUUAUUAAUUCAUGGUGGGGAUAGACUAUUGUUAAUUGUUGGUCUCGGUCUUAACUAGGAAUGCCUUGUACGGGUCAUUGGUUUAACAGACCACCCGGAAUACGUCCCUGCCCUUUGUACACACCGCCCGUCGCUCUUACCGAUGAACUUCGCUAUGAAUCUAUUGGACUGUACCAUUGUGGUAUGGAAAGAUAUAUGAAUAGUGUGGUUUAAAGGAAAGAGAAGUCGUAACAAGGCA